UAUAGCCUCCCUACAGCCUCCCUAUAGCAGCCUCCCUUCACUCUUUCUCUCUGUCUUUUUAAGGCCUUUUUUUUAACAAAGUGUGCCAACAACUUUUGUACAAGUUGUUAGCACUUUUAGAAGGCCGAGUCAUUACCGACAAAAACAAAAACAAACAAAUUACCAACUAAUUACUAAUUCAGUGGAUCAAACACUGACUGUAAUGUGGAUCUACCUGGUAAUGCAACGAGCUUCGGGACUGGUCUCCACUCUCCAGAGAGCGGCACACAGAUUGUGAGUCAUGCUGCGGAGCGGCCGGGAAACACGGAGCGGAUUAGCGGAAUCAGCGGAUCUUUCGCGGAGCGGUAACAGACAGCUUUGAGCUGGGGUGAUGGGGGGAUUGGUGAGAGGGGCACCUCAGCCGAUGAGGGCAAAGGGGCAGUGGCUCUAGCCACCGGGCCAGCACCCUGUGCACGCCCCUGCUGCAUAGUAGUGUUAGUGUUGAUACAGAUUAGAAAAAAAUCCUACAACAGCAUAAAAAUGAGAGAGACAUUCUUAGUCUUACUCUAAUAACAGAAACAAAUUCAAAUCAGACAGUAGUUUUGGGGCGUUUCUGUCCCUCAUGUAUUGAAGAGACGUCGCAAAUAUCUCCAGUCCAAUGGGUUUAACUUUAAAUCAAUGAAGCGCGUUCUUCACUCUCUGGGCGGCUCCUGUGUCGAAAACGAAAGUAAAUUCGCAAAGAAAAUGCAUUUUGGAGACUUAAACGGAUGCAAUGAUGCUCCGCUGAGCCCAGCAGCAGAAGAAGAAGGUAUGUUCACAAUCACAAACCUAAGCAACUUCAUGCGAUUAAUUACACGUUUCAUAGCGUUAAUUUACAUGACCAACGCAUCUACCUGAUUUGAUAACAGUCUAUCAGUGUAUAUGGCUUUUAAAACGAUUAAAUGAUAAAAAAAAGAAAAGAAAACCAGAUUAAUCAUUAUAGAACCCCAUAGAAAACUGUAUACAAAAUAUGUGCCAAACUGAAAUUAAAUUGUUUAAUUUUCUCAGUGAUAAUGUAUCGGCCCUGUCAAAUUAAAAAAUAAAAAUAAAAUGCAGUUGAGGUGUGACA
ensembl:lncRNA